GACGUAGGAUGCAAGCGUUGUCCGGAAUUAUUGGGCGUAAAGAGUUCGUAGGCGGUUGCCUAAGUCUGAUGUUAAAUACUGGAGCUCAACUCCGGCAUGGCAUUGGAAACUGGGCGGCUAGAGUGUGGUAGAGGUCUCGGGAAUUCCAGGUGUAGCGGUGAAAUGCGUAGAUAUCUGGAGGAACACCGGUGGCGAAGGCAGGUCUCUGGGCUGACACUGACGCUCAUGCACGAAAGCGUGGGGAGCAAACAGG
rnacentral:rRNA from 1 species